GAUUUCAACUAAAAAUAUCAUCAACGACAAAAUUGUAUAACUCAUCAAUAUCUAUAACUUUUAUUUUGGUCAUUUCUUCAUACGGUAAAGUGAUAGUAACAUUGUUCACAAAAUUUACAUAUCUCUCUUAUAGUUUAUAAAAUAUAUAAGAGAUAUUUACAUUUUGAAAACAAUGUUACCAAUUGCUUUGUUGGAUGAAGAAAUGACCCAAAUAAAAGUUAUAGAUCUUGAUGAUUUAUACAACUUUGAUGUUGAUGACUUUUUCAGUUGAAAUC
rnacentral:pre_miRNA from 1 species